GAUCCUGGCUCAGGAUGAACGCUAGCGGCAGGCUUAACACAUGCAAGUCGAGGGGUAUAGUUCUUCGGAAUUAGAGACCGGCGCACGGGUGCGUAACGCGUAUGCAAUCUACCUUCACAGAGGGAUAGCCCAGAGAAAUUUGGAUUAAUACCUCAUAGUAUAGCAGUUUCGCAUGAAACCACUAUUAAAGUCACAACGGUGAAAGAUGAGCAUGCGUCCCAUUAGCUAGUUGGUAAGGUAACGGCUUACCAAGGCAACGAUGGGUAGGGGUCCUGAGAGGGAGAUCCCCCACACUGGUACUGAGACACGGACCAGACUCCUACGGGAGGCAGCAGUGAGGAAUAUUGGACAAUGGGCGCAAGCCUGAUCCAGCCAUGCCGCGUGCAGGAAGACGGUCCUAUGGAUUGUAAACUGCUUUUAUACAGGAAGAAACCCUCCCACGUGUGGGAGCUUGACGGUACUGUAGGAAUAAGGAUCGGCUAACUCCGUG
rnacentral:rRNA from 1 species